GACGAACGCUGGCGGCGUGCUUAACACAUGCAAGUCGAACGGUGAAGGGACCGGUUUUUGCUGGUUCUGGAUGAGUGGCGAACGGGUGAGUAACACGCGAGUAACCUGCCCCCUUCUUCUGGAGAACCGCAUGAAAGUGUGGCCAAUACGGGAUAUUCUGCGCCUGCUGCAUGGUGGGUGUGGGAAAGAUAUGGUUUCGGUGGGGGAUGGGCUGGCGGUCUAUCAGCUUGUUGGUGGGGUGAUGGCCUACCAAGGCGGUGCCGGGUAGCCGGCCUGAGAGGGUGGGCGGUCACGCUGGGGAGGAGACGCGGAGCAGACUACUACGGGAGGCAGCGGUGAGGAAUAGUGCACAAUGGGAGCAAGGAUGAUGCAGCGACGCCGCGUGGGAGAUGGAGGCCUUCGGGUUGUAAACCUCUUUCGCGAGUGAAGCAGGCCUGUCCCUUUUGUGGGUGGGUUGACGGUAGCUGGAGAAGAAGCGCCGGCUAACUACGUG
rnacentral:rRNA from 1 species